UACAGAGGUCCCAAGCGUUGUUCGGAUUUACUGGGCGUAAAGGGUGCGUAGGUGGCGGGAUAAGUCUGGUGUGAAAGCUCCGAGCUCAACUCGGAAAAGCAUUGGAAACUGUCCCGCUUGAGGGUCGGAGGGGAGACUGGAAUUCUCGGUGUAGCAGUGAAAUGCGUAGAUAUCGAGAGGAACACCAGUGGCGAAGGCGAGUCUCUGGACGACUCCUGACACUGAGGCACGAAAGCUAGGGGAGCAAACAGG
rnacentral:rRNA from 1 species